GGUCUCGCACUGACACCACACACUAAAAUAUUGAAACCAUCAGAGAUUAUCAGGAUCCCUGAGCAAGGAUGAUCUGUACAUUCAUGAGGCAUUUAUU
rnacentral:snRNA from 1 species